CUCAGCACAUGCUCAAUGGAAGACUUGUCUAAAUCCAAGAAUAAUAAUUUUCUAAUAUACUGAAAUAGUGGGGGGCGGACUUUAGACACUCGUGCUGAUCUUUCAGGUGGUUUGCAAAGAUAGUAAGCAUUUUCUACAAGUGUGCUAUGCCGGGGAUCCAAAUUUUUGACAUUUUUCAGGCGCAUCAAUAUCUCUAACAUAUUAGCCA
rnacentral:misc_RNA from 1 species